rnacentral:lncRNA from 1 species
UUGUGUAAGUAAACUUUAGUCUCCGCAUGUGUAUGUGUGUUUAUCGAGCGCGCGCGCGCAUCGACCGCAUGACGUCAGUGCGCGUCUGGAAACAGCUGACCGCAUUCCAGGAUAAUUGUUUUGCAUAAUCGUGGCUGGAAGCGGAGAGAGAACCGAGUUCUACCAACGACCCUCCUUCGCUUUUUCGUUUAUCCGCUUUCGAAAACUGUGCGUUAGCGAAGGUUGAAAGAGAAAGACGAACAAGAAACAAGAAAAAAAAAGAGAAAAAAAACAGCGAUAAAGAUGGAAAGAGAGAGAGGAGGGGAGGUCAAGAAACAUGAAUGAGAAGGAUCAAAUUCGAUUCUCGAACUUGGUUUUUAUCUACGAGCCUCAAGAAUUUGAUCGUCUCAAAAACAUUUCUUUCGAAACAUCGUUGGAAAUAUUUUCCAAAAGAUACACAUUCAACGUUUCGCGUGAUUCUUUGCUUCAUCGUAGAAUGGAAAAAAAAUAUAAGAAAAAUUGUGUUAGAGUGGAUAAUUCGAAAAGAAAAAACGAAAAAAAUAAGAAAAAAUGUUUAGGUCGAGGGUGAUUGGAUCGAGUUAGACGGGCCUGAGCUCGCUCGUCAAUAGUUUCGCGGCCGGCGCGUUGGCUUUUAAAGUUUAAAGAGCCAACUACGGACGACGGUGGCGGCGGCGGCGGCGGCGGCGGCGGCGGUGGCGAUGAUGGUGGCGGCGGCAACGUCUAGAGAUUGUAGAAGAAAGUAAAAUAAACAAAUAUUCGAAGAAAUUCGUGUAGAAAUCAGCGAAGAUAAGAGGAUACAAAGAAGAAGUUUGAAAAAAUGAGAAGAAGGAAGAGGGGGAGAAAAGGAAGGAAGGAAGGAAGAAGAAAAAGUAAAUCAAGAACGAAGAACUCCAGAGUUGGCGAUGAAAUAUCUCGUUGGAGAACGAGGCUAAGGAAUGCCUCUCGGUAGGAGGAGCCACACACGAGGAUAUUUGCACCAUAUAAGGCCCUGUUUAGCGGCAUCUCCCCACGUCUCUCCCAACCCCCCUCCCCUACCCCACGUGUGUCCCACAUUAUGUCCGGCCAGAAUCUCCGCGAACCCGUAUCCACCUUACCACGGGGGCUUCGCCAAUUUUUCAUUCCUCGUUCUUAGUCGAGCAUAACCAAAAUGAGUAUCGCGACGAGAAAUUCACGAGAAAAUACAAUCGUACGAAAAUGAAUUUCAAAUAAUUUUAAUCUCAUUGAUAAACGGUAUGUUCAUUUAAAGAAAUGAUCUAAAUUUAUUUUACAUUGAUAAAUGAUAAGUAUGAGUAAUAACAAGAAAACGGUUCGAAUUACUGAUAUUCAGUUUCAUGAGAAAUAUUUGAAUGUUGCAAAAUUUAAUAAUAUCAACUUUUACUUAAAAAAAAAAUGUAUGAGGCAACUGAAGUACUUUCGAAACAAUUUAUCAUACACCCUAAAAUAUUAGCCUCCUUUUUUACGAUUUAAUUAUUACUAAAAAUUUCAUAUUUUAAUGAAUUUCUGAUACAACGUAUUAUAUGAACCAACUUGCAUGAAAACAUUUGUUUUAUCGUAGAUUUGUCAGUUUGUUAAAAAGAGAAUAUUAUGAAUAAUUUUUAUUUGUGUUAGUCGUCUUUGGUGACCAAGAAUGAGACGGCCCUGAGCGCCGUUUUGCAAUCCCGGCGGUACGUGUCACAGAAUGGUGCGUCGCGCAUAGUUGUCGCGUGACGUUGGCAGAGAAACAACGCCACCCGACACGCUCUUGCGAUCGGAUGACCCUAUCGAUGUUACAUGUACAUAAAAAAAGAGAGAGAGAGAGA